CCCUUAGAUGUUCUGGGCCGCACGCGCGUUACAAUGAAUCGUUCAACAGGUUUUCUUCCUGAGUCGAAAGGCUUGGGUAAUCCUUUAAAUACGGUUCGUGCUAGGGAUAGAUUUUUGCAAUUAUUAAUCUUGAACGAGGAAUAUUUAGUAAACGCAGGUCAUCAGCCUGCAUUGAUUACGUCCCUGCCCUUUGUACACACCGCCCGCCGCACCAACCGAUUGGAUGUUUUGUUGAAAUAUGUGGAUGUUUUUUGAGUGGAUUAAUUUUCGCUCGAUAGACAGAAACGUAUUAAAACUGAAUAUAUAGAGGAUGGUGAAGUCGUAACA
rnacentral:rRNA from 1 species